rnacentral:rRNA from 1 species
AUACGGAGGAUCCGAGCGUUAUCCGGAUUUAUUGGGUUUAAAGGGUGCGCAGGCGGCCAUUUAAGUCAGCGGUUAAAUCGUGGGGCUCAACCCCAUUCUGCCGUUGAUACUGGGUGGCUUGAUUGCGGUCGAGGUUGGCGGAAUUCGUUGUGUAGCGGUGAAAUGCAUAGAUAUGACGAAGAACACCGAUUGCGUAGGCAGCUGACCAGACCGCAAAUGACGCUCAUGCACGAAAGUGCGGGGAUCGAACAGGAUUAGAUACCCUGGUAGUCCGCACAGUAAACGAUGAAUACUUGUUUUCGGCGAUAUGAUGUCGGAGGCAAAGCGAAAGCGAUAAGUAUUCCACCUGGGGAGUACGCCGGCAACGGUGAAACUCAAAUGAAUUGACGGGG